GACGAACGCUGGCGGCGUGCUUAACACAUGCAAGUCGAACGGAAAGGCCCUGCUUUUGUGGGGUGCUCGAGUGGCGAACGGGUGAGUAACACGUGAGUAACCUGCCCUUGACUUUGGGAUAACUUCAGGAAACUGGGGCUAAUACCGGAUAGGAGCUCCUGCUGCAUGGUGGGGGUUGGAAAGUUUCGGCGGUUGGGGAUGGACUCGCGGCUUAUCAGCUUGUUGGUGGGGUAGUGGCUUACCAAGGCUUUGACGGGUAGCCGGCCUGGGAGGGUGACCGGCCUCAUUGCGACUAUGCAACGGACCAGACUCCUACGGGAGGGAGCAGUGAGGAAGAUUGCAAGAUGAGCGGAAGCCUGACGCAGCAACGCAGCGUGCGGGAUGACGGCCUUCGGGUUGUAAACCGCUUUCGCCUGUGACGAAGCGUGAGUGACGGUAAUGGGUAAAGAAGCAACGGCUAACUACGUG
rnacentral:rRNA from 1 species